rnacentral:rRNA from 1 species
GGGUACUACGAGCAUAAGCUUAAAACCCAAAGGACUUGGCGGUGCUUUAGACCCCCCUAGAGGAGCCUGUUCUAGAACCGAUAACCCCCGUUCAACCUCACCUUUUCUUGCCCGUACCGCCUAUAUACCGCCGUCGUCAGCAUACCCUAUGAAGGAACCACAGUAAGCAAAAUUGGUAGAACCCAAAACGUCAGGUCGAGGUGUAGCAUAUGAAAAGGAAAGAAAUGGGCUACAUUUCCUCUCCCAGGAAACACGAAUUGUGCUAUGAAACAACACAUGAAGGAGGAUUUAGCAGUAAGCAGAAAGCAGAGCGUUCCGCUGAACCUGGCCCUGAAGCGCGCACACACCGCCCGUCACUCUCCCCGAGCCAAAAAUCUCUCGUACCUUAAAAACCUACCAAGGCAUGAGGGGAGGCAAGUCGUAACAUGGUAAGUGUACCGGAAAGUGCACUUGGAAAAAC